CUACGGGGGGCAGCAGUGGGGAAUAUUGCACAAUGGGCGCAAGCCUGAUGCAGCCAUGCCGCGUGUAUGAAGAAGGCCUUCGGGUUGUAAAGUACUUUCAGCGGGGAGGAAGGGAGUAAAGUUAAUACCUUUGCUCACUGACGUUACCCGCAGAAGAAGCACCGGCUAACUCCGUGCCAGCAGCCGCGGUAAUACGGAGGGUGCAAUCGUUAAUCGGAAUUACUGGGCGUAAAGCGCACGCAGGCGGUUUGUUAAGUCAGAUGUGAAAUCCCCGGGCUCAGCCUGGGAACUGCAUCUGAUACUGGCAAGCUUGAGUCUCGUAGAGGGGGGUAGAAUUCCAGGUGUAGCGGUGAAAUGCGUAGAGAUCUGGAGGAAUACCGGUGGCGAAGGCGGCCCCCUGGACGAAGACUGACGCUCAGGUGCGAAAGCGUGGGGAGCAAACAGGAUUAGAUACCCCCGUAGUC
rnacentral:rRNA from 1 species